UACGUAGGGUGCGAGCGUUAAUCGGAAUUACUGGGCGUAAAGCGUGCGCAGGCGGUCUGUUAAGACCGAUGUGAAAUCCCCGGGCUUAACCUGGGAACUGCAUUGGAGACUGGCAGGCUUUGAGUGUGGCAGAGGGAGGUAGAAUUCCACGUGUAGCAGUGAAAUGCGUAGAGAUGUGGAGGAACACCGAUGGCGAAGGCAGCCCCCUGGGCUGACACUGACGCUCAGGCACGAAAGCGUGGGGAGCAAACAGG
rnacentral:rRNA from 1 species